rnacentral:rRNA from 1 species
ACAUGCAGUCGAACGGUAACAGGAAGCAGCUUGCUGCUUCGCUGACGAGUGGCGGACGGGUGAGUAAUGUCUGGGAAACUGCCUGAUGGAGGGGGAUAACUACUGGAAACGGUAGCUAAUACCGCAUAACGUCGCAAGACCAAAGAGGGGGACCUUCGGGCCUCUUGCCAUCGGAUGUGCCCAGAUGGGAUUAGCUAGUAGGUGGGGUAACGGCUCACCUAGGCGACGAUCCCUAGCUGGUCUGAGAGGAUGACCAGCCACACUGGAACUGAGACACGGUCCAGACUCCUACGGGAGGCAGCAGUGGGGAAUAUUGCACAAUGGGCGCAAGCCUGAUGCAGCCAUGCCGCGUGUAUGAAGAAGGCCUUCGGGUUGUAAAGUACUUUCAUCGGGGAGGAAGGCGAUAAGGUUAAUAACCUUGUCGAUUGACGUU